ACAGAAGUGUUCUAAGAACAUCAAACUGUCAGUGGUAUGUAGUAUGAACUAGAAGAAGAUGGAUCUUGAAGAAGAAAAAAGAUCAGUUUACCUCAUUCAACCUUCACUGCAAUCAAGGAGGAAGCUUUAUCAUCCCUAUCUGACAGAACUGAGGACAUGGCUGAAGGAGAUUAAAAGCACAUUUGGAAAUACCGCUUUAGAUACUCUACAAGUUAACCUUGGAAUAAACCAGACUAUCGGAGAGCAUUGUCACUCAC